AAAUGCAAUAAUUAAUGUAAAUGCCAAAAUCCAGUAAAUCAUGAAUUUUUUGAACCCCCCUUCCCCCUUUUGUUAUUCCAAAGGGUCCCCCCGUUUAAGUGUCAUG
rnacentral:rRNA from 1 species